CGCGGAGUAGAGCAGCUCGGUAGCUCGUCGGGCUCAUAACCCGGAGGUCGUAGGUUCAAAUCCUGCCUCCGCAACCA
rnacentral:tRNA from 2 species